UUGAUGUCUGAUGGAGUCUGAAAAAUCCCUGCAAACUAGAACGUGAGAGUGCGUCAGCUGCGUUAUUCUGAAUGCCUGGAACGUGAAUACAAUUUAGACAGAACUGUAGAUUUGCUGCUAACCAGGUAAGUUUCCUUACUAAGUUCAUGAUGACUUUAUUAAUGAUGUUACAUGCUGUCAGGUUGUCUGAGAAACACCUCACUGAUUUACCUCUCCACUCUUUACCCCAAAUGUGUGCUGCGGCUGCAAACGGGAAGAUUUCAAAUAGUGCUGAGGUGGUGUUGAAAUUUUCUAGUGAGGUAGUCUCCAGUGGCCAAGAGUCGUAUACCCAGUCAUUACCAAAUAUCGCUGCAUAACCUAUGGCACCUGAUGCGUCAGUCCAAAUUACCGGGGAAUCGUCAGAAAUGGGGGGAACAAAUAAUGACCUGCCAUUCCAAGAGGACAGAAAUAGAUGCCACAUUUUUAAAUCUGCUCUAGCUGGUUUGUCUACGUUAGUUGUGGAAUCUUCGUCGGGGAGACCGUGUAAGAGAGAGAGAAUUCUGGAAAUAAAUGACCUCCCCUGUGGAAUUAUUCUCAUUGCGAAGUUGAGUGACCCAAGAAGUGACUGGAGCUCUUUCCUGGUGCAAGACCCUUGUGAGGUGCAGAUAUCGAUCUACGCUAGAAUUCUGUCUACUUUCUCUUGAGGCAGGCUAGCUUGCAUUGAGACUGAGUUAAGUGUUAUCACCAGGAAGGUAAUCUCUGUGUUGGGACCUUCUGUUUUGUCCGGGGCUACUGGAACUCCUAAAUCCUCAAACAGUGACAGUAUGUGAUGUAGGCUGCUUGGUGUGAAGUAGUGUGGUUCAAUAGAGAGAAAAUCGUCCAAAUAGUGAAUGAUUACUGGACAUCUGCAUUUGUUAAGUAGGAGUGUGGCGAUACCAACCUCGCCACUGUACACUGGAGAAGCCUGGUUGCUCGCCUGCUGCCUUUGGACUAUGGCCCCAUGUUAAAAGACAUCUUUUUCCCUGCAGAAAAGACUUAUUCGUGCUUUUCUGCCGGGUGUUCGGUAGAUUUGUUUGAGUGUGUUGUACCCUAGAUAGGAAUCCCAUGGAGCCCAUUCGCAUGAAACUGACUGUGUAAAGACUUUGCCUCCAUGGCGUUUAAACUGUAUUCGUGUGGUCUGAGCGCCAUUCGCUUAAUAAUGUGCGCUCAGACCUGAGCUAUCUGGGGAUAUGUAGAACGUAUAUGUUUUAUGUACUGAAUGUAACUGUAGGUAAUUUUAUGUCUUUUACUGUUUGUUUUCUGCCAUGUGGUUAAUGGAUAGGAUUACUUCUCAAUUAUCUCCAGAGCAGAGAGGAGGGAUUGUGAUGCAUUGUGGGAUGGUUGAAAUGUGUAAGUCUGUGAUUGGUCAUUUUACACUUUGUGUCCCAGUCUCCCAUUUGGUCCCCUAGGGGAGUGUCCACCAGGUGGGAGACCUGCAUAAAAGCCGGGCAGUUAGCCCCAGUAAAUCAGUUCCUGCUUAACCCUCAAAGUGAAGUGUCAUCUCAUUAUUGGGGGGAGGAUUUACUGUAUGCUGUUAGAGACUGAUUGCCAGGAGUGUAAGCCGCUUGGGGGCUUUUCCUGUUCGUCUGCUAGCAGCUAUUCGUGUGUCUCCAGUUUGGGAGUUUCGAGUAUUCCCUUGGUUGCAGUUCGGGAGUUGGUGAAUUCGUGGGUUUGCAGUUCAGGAGACUGGUGCUUGCAGUAGCUGUCGGUGCAGCUGAAAAAGGGGAAUAUCGCCUAAACGUUUUUUAACCUCUUUUGGGCAAAACGGUCCGUUACAAGGAGCCAGGUCAAAGUUUCGGCGAAAAUAUCAAAAAUCUUGGGGCUACUUUUGGAGCCGAAAAUUAGUCUGGUAGCGAAAUAGUACUUGUCUUCACACCUAACGCCAUGCAGGUGCCAGAGUGACUGAUGUAUUGGUAGUAGUUUGAAUGCAUUUGUGAUGUCUGUUUUACUUAAAGGACCACUAUAGUGCCAGGAAAACAUACUUCCGGCUCUGGAAGGUUGAAAGGGGUUUAAACGUACCUUUUUCCAGUGCUAGGCGGGGAGCUCUCUGCCUCCGAUCCUCCUCCGUUCCUCCCAGUUAGCUGAAUGCGCACGCGCAGCAAGAGCUCCGCGCGCAUUCAGCCGGUCGCAUAGGAAAACAUUCAUAAUGGACGCUGGCGUGCUCUCACUGUGAAAAUCACAGUGAGAAGCACGCAAGCGCCUCUAGUGGCUGUCAAUGAGACAGCCACUAGAGGAUUAGGGGGAAGGCUUAACUCAUUCAUAAACAUAGCAGUUUCUCUGAAACUGCUAUGUUUAUGAAAAAAUGGGUUAACCCUAGCUGGAC
rnacentral:lncRNA from 1 species